rnacentral:rRNA from 1 species
AUACGAAGGGUGCAAGCGUUAAUCGGAAUUACUGGGCGUAAAGCGCGCGUAGGUGGUUUUGUAAGUUGGAGGUGUAAGCCCCGGGCUCAACCUGGGAAUUGCCUCCAAAACUGCAUGACCAGAGUACGGUAGAGGGUAGUGGAAUUUCCUGUGUAGCGGUGAAAUGCGUAGAUAUAGGAAGGAACACCAGUGGCGAAGGCGACUACCGGGACUGAUACUGACCCUGAGGUGCGAAAGCGUGGGGAGCAAACAGGAUUAGAUCCCCUGGUAGUCCACGCCGUAAACGAUGUCAACUAGCCGUUGGGAUCCUUGAGAUCUUAGUGGCGCAGCUAACGCAUUAAGUUGACCGCCUGGGGAGUACGGCCGCAAGGUUAAAACUCAAAUGAAUUGACGGGG